rnacentral:rRNA from 1 species
CGUUUAGGGGUAAACCUGAGAAACCCGAAAGGUCGAAGGAAGAAAUUCAUCGCGUUAUCGAUGCUGACGUUGAAUGUAUAGCAUGACAAAUGACGUUUUAACGUUGAUUGCAUCUGUCAUUUUUCGAUUUAGCAACGAACGUGUGCACUUUUCUUCUGGUAGAACGUCGCGAUCCGUUGGGUGUCGGUCUACGAUUUGCAUUGGAGAUCAAAUGAUCCACGCUUUUGUGUGGAACCGUUUGAACUUGCAUUUCUCCGACCGACUCGCUUGACGGUAUAAGAACGGUUUAGGGCCGCUCUCUUUUAUGAGAAGCGUUCGACUCUGGGCAAGCGCGUCAGUUGUUUCGAUGAUUGGACUUAGUGCUGAUCCCGAUCACUGGUGACUGUUGGCCCAGAUGUUCUCGAACCGACCCCGAAAAUGUUUAAAAACCGAUCUGCGGCGCUAUAGCUUUGGGUACUUUCAGGACCCGUCUUGAAACACGGACCAAGGAGUCUAGCAUGUACGCAAGUCAUUGGGACUAAUUAAACCUAAGGGCAAAAUGAAAGUAAAGAUUUUCCUUGCGAGAAUCUAGGGAGGACGAGUGGUUUCACAUUUAAAAACCGUUUUGCACUCCCGGGGCGUCUCAUUCUCAUUGCGAGAAGAGGCGCACCAAGAGCGUACACGCUGGGACCCGAAAGAUGGUGAACUAUGCCUGGUCAGGAUGAAGUCAGGGGAAACCCUGAUGGAGGUCCGUAGCGAUUCUGACGUGCAAAUCGAUCGUCGGAACUGGGUAUAGGGGCGAAAGACUAAUCGAACAUC